CGGACAUUCUAAAAUUGUUACAAGUACAGGUAUAUACAUUAUAACUCAUAUAAGAACCAGUUAACAAAUAUAAAACAACAAUAACAUGAACCACAAGCACUGUUUCAUAACCAAAGAUUCUCCUAAUCUUAGCCAGAGUCUUCUAAAUGUCUAUCUUUGUCCAGAGAGUAUUGAGAAAGAUAUCAUAGAUAAUUCAGAGUAAAUCUGUGGCAACUAGGAGAAGAAAUGUUUAAAAAGAGAGAGAGAGCAAGCAUGAGGUUAAGAAGCUUGUAAAUCAGGAGGUUCUCCCUCUAGCUCAGGGAGAAAAAGUUCCUAAUACCAGCAAUGCAUGUUGGCCGAACUCAUUUUUACCUAUUUGGCUAAUUUUUUUUUUUUUUUGACCUUUAAAAAUGUCAUAGGCACUGUUGGGUGUUCAAAGUGAAGGUCUUAAAAGGAAAUAAUACUUUGUCCACAUCAUUGGGCAACAUUAGGAAGAAUCAGAGCCACAAAGGGAUGAAGGCAAUCCUCUUUGUAGCCGUGUAGAGGUUCUAUCAGUAACAGCUGGAGCCAAUCUCUCUGUGCAGCAUAUUUUUAAGAGGUGAGUUGUUUGAUACCUGUUCCCCAUUAUCCAGCAUCUUCAGAAAAGGCUGAAGCAGCCUUGCAGUUUUUCUGGCACGGUUUUACCCUUAUUAAAAAGGCUAUUGUUGAACUGUUCAAAUUGGGAUGCUUUGAUUGUUAGCACGUUCAGUACUCUGUGAUUACCGUAAUUACAGACCUGUGAAGGUCAAACUGACAAAACUGAAUAUAAACUGGAACUGAAUAUAAACUGGGACAACUCACUACAUUAGUUCUUUUUGCACUCUUUGGUUCUUGUUGUUGUUUUUCCUUGUUGUUGUUGUAAGAGUUGCCAAGUGCUAAAUCUGUAAUAGAAAAUAAAAAUGAAAGUCAUCGAUUUUACAGUUUUGCUUUGACUACGUAGAAUCAAUAUUCAAGGAACUAAAAGGAAUGCUCCAUUGUACUUUCAGGUCCAGGUAUACUUUUGGGUCAUCACCUUCCUCCAUAGUCAUGGUCUUGAGUUCAUGUGAUGUAUCCAGGACUAAGAGACUCCAGAGACUGGCAGAUCCCUCCAGAAAGAUGAACAUCUAG
rnacentral:lncRNA from 1 species